rnacentral:rRNA from 1 species
CCUACGGGCGGCAGCAGUGGGGAAUAUUGGGCAAUGGGCGCAAGUCUUACCCAGCAACGCCGCGUGAAUGAAGAAGGCCUUCGGGUUGUAAACUUCUUUUGUCAGGGACGAAACAAGUGACGGUACCUAACGAAUAAGCCACGGCUAACUACGUGCCAGCAGCCGCGGUAAUACGUAGGGGGCAAGCGUUGUUCGGAAUGAUUGGGUGUAAAGGGUGUGUAGGCGGUGAAGCAAGUUAGAAGUGAAAAACCUGGGGCUUAACCCAGGGGCUGCUUCUGAACCUGUUUUUCUUGAGUGCAGUAGAGGAAAGCGGAAUUCCGUGUGUAGCGGUGAAAUGCGUAGAUAUUAGGAGGAACACCAGUGGCGAAGGCGGAUUGCUGGACAGUAACUGACGCUGAGGCGCGAAAGCGUGGGGAGCAAACAGGAUUAGAUACCCCAGUAGUC